UUUCAUGUUUAAUGAUUUAAUGAUCAGAUGCAUCAUGCUAGGUUAGACAGGUCAUGCUUAUCGUUAGAAUAGAUGGUUUGUGCUUGACUUAGAUGAUCAAUACUGGGAUUUAGUUAUAAUUUUUAUGAUUGCUUUGGCUUGUAGUCGGAAGCAAUCAAGUCUUAAAUACAACUCAAUCAUUGAAAGCAUCACGGAUAUAAAUCUAUCGGCGGAUUAUAGCCCUAAACACCUCUCUCCAUAGAUAACUCAUACUAUUGCAUCCAUAUUAAUUCUUAGUUUUUAUCAUUCACUCUAGCUUAAGCCCUUUAAAGUAAUUAUUUAGUUAAGAAAAAUAACUUGUCUCCAAUCCCUAUGGAUCGAUACCCGUAAUCACUAUCCUACCAGAUACGUGCUAUUGCGUGGUCUUUAAAGUUGACUAUCACUAACCCCAGGCACCACCAUAGCCACCCCUUUAUCUCUCCUUUUCUCUUCCUUGGCUAGACAGCCAGGUCCUAUACUCCCUCUUUCUCUCUAUUCCCCAUUCUUUCUAUCUUGUUUCUCUCUCUACUAGAUUUCUUCUCUACUCUCUCUCUCUCUCUCUCUCUCUCUCUCUCGCUAGAGAUGUUAGAUCUAAUAUGUUACCUCUUUUCGUGAUUCUAGAUCACUCCUGGUGAAGGGCCCUGAUUAAUAGUCGGCGGGCAGCACAUCAACUCCCACCAUGGCACUUUUUGGAUAUUGUUAAAACUGGUCAUCUCUGAUCUCUAUCGAAACUCCUGUAUCCUAGUGCAAGCAUGAUCAGAUAAAUUUCACUUUGAUUGGACUGAUCUGGGUGUCAGGCACUCCGUUAGGACUUUAGAAGGAUUUUUGAAAUUAAUUGGCCGAUACGUUGGAUUCGCUCGUAAGGUUAGUAAUGUUUCGCUUUUUCUAAAUUUUUUAGUAAUAUUAAAUUAUUAUAUUCAUGACUUUUGAGUGGUGUUAUUCAUGAUGCAAGAGUUGGAUGCAUAAUUAUUAUUGAAUAUUCUAUUUUGGAAUAUUAUAAUGAUAUAUGAUCUUAUUGGAUAUAUGAUUGAUUGAUUUUGACACUGCAUGAUUUUAGAACUGAAGUAUGAAACUCUAAAUCUAUUUAAAUUUUGACCUGACUAUAUUGCAGAUCCCGUUAAUGGGGGCUAAUAUGUUGGCACAUGAUUCGUCCUAAAGGUUGUGUUGCAAGAUGAUGUGCAACAUACCACAAGCAGAUAUAUGGUCCUGAAGGACUUUGCUACAUGAUGAUGCAUAGCUCCCCUCAAGAAGAUGUGCAGUGUUAGAACCUUGCCAUAGGAAAGAUAUGGCCAUAGCUCAAGAUCGAUAAGAUGAAUUAAAUAUUUGAAAAAAUUUGAAUCCAUGAACAAAAACUUCAAUUUCUAAGAAAGGUUUGGUUUGAAAAUGAGUACAGCAUAUA